GUUGUUACCAAUAGCUUUUUAUACAUCUACCGACUUCGAAUCCGUAGGCCGGGGGUUCGAAUCCCUCCGGGCGUACCA
rnacentral:tRNA from 1 species